rnacentral:rRNA from 1 species
GACGAACGCUGGCGGCGUGCUUAACACAUGCAAGUCGAACGAAGUGGCGAACGGGUGAGUAACGCGUAAUCAACCUGCCCUUCAGAGGGGGACAACAGUUGGAAACGACUGCUAAUACCGCAUACGGAAGGAGUGGAUUGCGACGGAUUAGCUAGUUGGGGGGGUAACGGCCCACCAAGGCGAUGAUCAGUAAGCUGGUCGGGGAGGUGAAUGGCCCCAAUUGGAAGUGGAACCGGGCCAGACUCCCACGGGAGGCAACAGUUGGGAAACUUCCGAAAUUGACGAAAGUCCGGCGGAGCAACGCCGCGUGAGUGAUGACGGCCUUCGGGUUUUAAAGCUCUGUUAAUCGGGACGCGGUACCGGAAGAGAAAGCCACGGCUAACUACGUGCCAGCAGCCGCGGUAAUAC